rnacentral:rRNA from 1 species
UACAGAGGUCUCAAGCGUUGUUCGGAUUCAUUGGGCGUAAAGGGCGCGUAGGCGGCCACCGCAAGUCAGUUGUGAAAUCUCUGGGCUUAACCCAGAACGGUCAGCUGAUACUGCGGGGCUAGAGUGCAGAAGGGGCAACUGGAAUUCUCGGUGUAGCGGUGAAAUGCGUAGAUAUCGAGAGGAACACCUGCGGCGAAGGCGGGUUGCUGGGCUGACACUGACGCUGACAGCGCGAAAGCUAGGGGAGCGAACGGG